UCCCCUUCCUCUGCAUUCCUCCUUCCUCUGAUUUCUUCCCAUUAGCCUGCUGGGAGUAUGGGAAGAUUGGAGAUUGAUUAUCUAACAAAGGGCCUUUGUCCCAGGGAGGAGACAACUUCCAGUAAUGAAAUCUUGAGGACAGGACGAUUUGGAGGUUCUGGGAGCUGGGGAGUCACCCAAGUCCACUGGCAAGACAGUAGUCAGGACGACUGGCGACAGCGUGGGAUACAGGCCAUUGUGGAGGGGAGCAAUCACUACCAAGAAGGCACUCAUCUUCCUCACCACUGCUACCUGCACCAAUGGUUGACCAACACACGAUGGGCAGGUAAACUCAAGAGCACCAAGAGAGGCUACACACUCCAAGACCACACUAUUCAUGCCUCCUGCUCUGGAUGCCAUUUCUCAUGAAGCAACUGCCAAGGAGAUGCAGCCUAGGAAAUGCUUCUUUGAGUCCUGCAGAAACAUCUACUGAAGACCCAGGAAAAAAGGUUCCCGACACCAAAAUCCUUGGUUCUAUUCAAUGAUUCUCAGCUUCAGAAGUGGAUAUGAUUUCAUCAUGGGGGAAUGAUAUAGAUAUUUCCUUUCUGUCCUAGAAUCAAUAUUGUGUAUUGGUUCCAAAGCACAAGAGCAAUAAGAUGUAGGCAAUGGGGGUUAAGUGACUUGCCCAAGGUCACACAUCUAGGAAGUAUCUGAGGUCAAACUUGAACCCAGGAUUUCCCAUCUUUGCCCUGGCUGUUAAUCUACUGAGCCACCUAGCUACCCCGUAUUGGGGAUAUUUUUAAUGAUUCAUCAUCAUCUGCUUUGUGUCUGCCUCCUAAGGAGCAUGGGGCUUUUCCAUCUGACCCAAGCUGAAACCUUCCAUAUUUGUUGUCUCCUCCAUUAAAAUAUGAGUUCCUUGAGAGCAGAGGCUGUCUUUUUCUUUCUGUUUGUAUCUCUAACAUUUUGCCCAGUGCUUUGUAUCUAGUAAGUGCUCAAUAAAUGCUCAUUCAUUCAUUCCUUCUCUCCUUUA
rnacentral:lncRNA from 1 species